AUUGAACGCUGGCGGCAGGCUUAACACAUGCAAGUCGAGCGGAGAUGAGGUGCUUGCACCUUAUCUUAGCGGCGGACGGGUGAGUAAUGCUUAGGAAUCUGCCUAUUAGUGGGGGACAACAUUCCGAAAGGAAUGCUAAUACCGCAUACGUCCUACGGGAGAAAGCAGGGGAUCUUCGGACCUUGCGCUAAUAGAUGAGCCUAAGUCGGAUUAGCUAGUUGGUGGGGUAAAGGCCUACCAAGGCGACGAUCUGUAGCGGGUCUGAGAGGAUGGUCCGCCACACUGGGACUGAGACACGGCCCAGACUCCUACGGGAGGCAGCAGUGGGGAAUAUUGGACAAUGGGGGAAACCCUGAUCCAGCCAUGCCGCGUGUGUGAAGAAGGCCUUAUGGUUGUAAAGCACUUUAAGCGAGGAGGGGGCUACUGAGACUAAUACUCUUGGAUAGUGGACGUUACUCGCAGAAUAAGCACCGGCUAACUCUGUGCCAGCCGCCGCAGUAAUAC
rnacentral:rRNA from 1 species